rnacentral:rRNA from 1 species
UACAGAGGGGGCUAGCGUUGCUCGGAAUCACUGGGCGUAAAGGGUGCGUAGGCGGGGCUUUAAGUCAGGGGUGAAAUCCUGGAGCUCAACUCCAGAACUGCCUUUGAUACUGAGGAUCUUGAGUUCGGGAGAGGUGAGUGGAACUGCGAGUGUAGAGGUGAAAUUCGUAGAUAUUCGCAAGAACACCAGUGGCGAAGGCGGCUCACUGGCCCGAUACUGACGCUGAGGCACGAAAGCGUGGGGAGCAAACAGG